UGUUGAAGGAGGCCCACUGUGACACCACUUCAGUGACCUUCCUUCUCUUGAGAAGCCAGUGUCAUCAGCACAGCCAGUGGAUUGGUCAGAGGAAAGAAUGGGAAUGAUUUCAGCAAAUAACAGCUCAUGUGCCUGCAUAUCAAUUCACAAAAACGAUUGGUCUUCCUGAGGACUGGAAGUGGCAUGAGCAGUAGAGCAACAAGGAAGCAGAGGGUAAUGUUCUUCUCCAUGCCUGGAAACUGACACCAAGAGGAAAUCUCCCCUUUCCUUCUGUGGGAUAGCAAAACACAUCCGUUUAUCUACAUCCUUGCCACUCUGAAUGGACCAGAUCUCAUGUAAAAACUGCAGCGACAGCAGGUUUCAGAGAGAAGAUUCCAUGAGUUGAGGUGAAGCGUAUGUGGCAAUGGGAUGAAAAGAUGGCUCCCAUAAGGAAGAGCAGGGCUGGUGCUUGGGAGAAGCGAGAAGGAUUAAGAGACUUCAUUGAUACCAGAACUGCUGCCAUGAAAUGUGUCUUCCUCAGUAGGCUGGCGGGUUCCCUAGAAAGGACAGGUGAACUCACACAGGGAAUAUGAACUCUCUCUAGCAAACUGUGUCCAUUUCUGUCUGGGGAGUUUUGAGUAGUGGCUGUUCAUGACACUGACUUAGGAAGGUUU